rnacentral:rRNA from 1 species
AAUUUGGGACAAUGGGGGAAACCCUGAUCCAGCCAGCCCGCGUGUAUGAUGAAGGCCUUCGGGUUGUCCAGUACUUUUGGCAGAGAAGAAAAUGUACCUCCUAAUACGAGGUACUGCUGACUGUAUCUGCAGAAUAAGCACCGGCUAACUCCGUGCCAUCAGCCGCGGUAAUACGUAGGGUGCAAGCGUUAAUCGGAAUUACUGGGAGUAAAGCGUGUGUAGGAGGUUCGGAAAGAAAGAUGUGAAAUCCCAGGGCUCAACCUUGGAACUGCAUUUUUAACUGCCGAGCUAGAGUAUGUCAGCGGGGGGUAGAAUUCCACGUGUAGCAGUGAAAUGCGUAGAUAUGUGGAGGAAUACCGAUGGCGAAGGCAGCCCCCUGGGAUAAUACUGACGCUCAGACACGAAAGCGUGGGGAGAAA